rnacentral:sRNA from 1 species
CUUCGCAGCCCUCCUUGGGCGUUUCCUCCCUAGACUUGGGCCGUUCGGAUUGAACGGCCCUUUUUUCUUGGCCGG